ensembl:misc_RNA Metazoa_SRP Metazoan signal recognition particle RNA
GCUGGGCAUGGUGGCGCAUGCCUGUAAUCCCAGCUACUCAGGAGGCUGAGGCAGGAGAAUCGCUUGAACCCGGGAGGCGGAGAUUGCAGUGAGCCAAGACUGCACCACUGCGUUCCAGCCUGGGUGACAGAGUGAGACUCCAUCUCAA